rnacentral:rRNA from 1 species
UACAUGCAAGUCGAGCGAACUGAUUAGAAGCUUGCUUCUAUGACGUUAGCGGCGGACGGGUGAGUAACACGUGGGCAACCUGCCUGUAAGACUGGGAUAACUUCGGGAAACCGAAGCUAAUACCGGAUAGGAUCUUCUCCUUCAUGGGAGAUGAUUGAAAGAUGGUUUCGGCUAUCACUUACAGAUGGGCCCGCGGUGCAUUAGCUAGUUGGUGAGGUAACGGCUCACCAAGGCAACGAUGCAUAGCCGACCUGAGAGGGUGAUCGGCCACACUGGGACUGAGACACGGCCCAGACUCCUACGGGAGGCAGCAGUAGGGAAUCUUCCGCAAUGGACGAAAGUCUGACGGAGCAACGCCGCGUGAGUGAUGAAGGCUUUCGGGUCGUAAAACUCUGUUGUUAGGGAAGAACAAGUACGAGAGUAACUGCUCGUACCUUGACGGUACCUAACCAGAAAGCCACGGCUAACUACGUGCCAGCAGCCGCGGUAAUACGUAGGUGGCAAGCGUUAUCCGGAAUUAUUGGGCGUAAAGCGCGCGCAGGCGGUUUCUUAAGUCUGAUGUGAAAGCCCACGGCUCAACCGUGGAGGGUCAUUGGAAACUGGGGAACUUGAGUGCAGAAGAGAAAAGCGGAAUUCCACGUGUAGCGGUGAAAUGCGUAGAGAUGUGGAGGAACACCAGUGGCGAAGGCGGCUUUUUGGUCUGUAACUGACGCUGAGGCGCGAAAGCGUGGGGAGCAAACAGGAUUAGAUACCCUGGUAGUCCACGCCGUAAACGAUGAGUGCUAAGUGUUAGAGGGUUUCCGCCCUUUAGUGCUGCAGCUAACGCAUUAAGCACUCCGCCUGGGGAGUACGGUCGCAAGACUGAAACUCAAAGGAAUUGACGGGGGCCCGCACAAGCGGUGGAGCAUGUGUUUAAUUCGAAGCAACGCGAAGAACCUUACCAGGUCUGACAUCCUCUGACAACUCUAGAGAAAGAGCGUUCCCCUUCCGGGGAC